rnacentral:rRNA from 1 species
GAUAUUGCACAAUGGGCGAAAGCCUGAUGCAGCCAUGCCGCGUGUGUGAAGAAGGCCUUCGGGUUGUAAAGCACUUUCAGCKRGGAGGAAAGGGAUGYRGUUAAUAMCUGCAUUCUGUGACGUUACUCRCAGAAGAAGSACCGGCUAACUUCGUGCCAGCAGCCGCGGUAAUACGARGGGUGCRAGCGUUAAUCGGAAUUACUGGGCGUAAAGCGYGCGYAGGCGGUUUGUUAAGYMAGAUGUGAAAGCCCCGGGCUCAACCUGGGAAYUGCAUUUURAACUGGYWGGCUAGAAUCUUGUAGAGGGGAGUGGAAUUUUUCCCGGUGAGCGGUGAAAUGCGUAGAGAUUGAGACAUCAGUGGCGAAGGCGRCUMCCUGGACAAAGAUUGACGCUCAUGYRCGAAAGCGUGGGGAGCRAACAGGAUUAGAUACCCUGGUAGUCCACRCCGUAAACGAUGUCWACUAGCCGUCUGUGGACUUGAWCCGUGGGUGGCGUAGCUAACGCGCUAAGUUGACCGCCUGGGGAGUACGGCCGCAAGGUUAAAACUCAAAUGAAUUGACGGGGGCCCGCACAACGGUGGAGCAUGUGGUUUAAUUCGAUGCAACGCGAAGAACCUUACCAACUCUUGACAUCCUCAGAAGCKAYCAGAGAUGGACGUGUGCCUUCGGGAACUGAGAKACAGGUGCUGCAUGGCUGUCGUCAGCUCGUGUUGUGAGAUGUUGGUUAAGUCCCGCAACGAGCGCAACCCUAUCCUUAUUUGCCAGCGAGUAGUGUCGGGMACUCUAAGGAGACUGCCGGUGAYAAACCGGAGGAAGGUGGGGACGACGUCAAGUCAUCAUGGCCCUUACGRGWWGGGCUACACACGUGCUACAAUGGCAAGUACAGAGGGMAGCAAUCCYGCGAGGKKRAGCGAAUCCCWCAAAGCUUGUCGUAGUCCGGAUUGGAGUCUGCAACUCGACUCCAUGAAGUCGGAAUCGCUAGUAAUCGYAGAUCAGAAUGGURCGGUGAAUACGU